CACCAGCCCCUCGAGUGGUGGGGAUGAUUAUUUGGCCUAAAGCGUCCGUAGCCGGCCGGGUAAGUUUCCCGUUAAAUCCAGCGUCUCAAGCGUUGGACUGCGGGAAAUACUGCCUGGCUAGAGAGUGGGAGAGGUCAGCGGUAUUCUGGGGGUAGGGGCGAAAUCCUUUGAUCCCCGGAGGACACCAGUGGCGAAGGCUGCUGACUAGAACACGUCUGACGGUCAGGGACGAAAGCUGGGGGUAGCGAACCGGAUUAGAUACCCGGGUAGUCCCAGCCGUAAACGAUGCAUGCUAGGUGUUGGGUUGGCCACGAGCCACCCCAGUGCCGCAGGGAAGCCGUUAAGCAUGCCGCCUGGGAAGUACGAUCGCAAGAUUGAAACUUAAAGGAAUUGGCGGGGGGGCACCACCAGGCGUGAAGCCUGCGGUUU
rnacentral:rRNA from 1 species